CGAACGGGUGAGUAACACGUAGGAACCUGUCACCGAGUGGGGGAUAACGCUGGGAAACCGGCGCUAAUACCGCAUGUGGUUCUCUGACGGGAGUCAGAGAAAGAAAGGCUUUGGUCGCUCUGGUGAGGGGCCUGCGGCCGAUUAGCUAGUUGGAGGGGUAACGGCCCCCCAAGGCGACGAUCGGUAGCUGGUCUGAGAGGAUGGUCAGCCACACUGGGACUGAGACACGGCCCAG
rnacentral:rRNA from 1 species